rnacentral:rRNA from 1 species
CCUACGGGUGGCAGCAGUGAGGAAUAUUGGUCAAUGGCCGGAAGGCUGAACCAGCCAAGUCGCGUGAGGGACGACUGCCCUAUGGGUUGUAAACCUCUUUUAUAAGGGAAGAAUAAAUGCUACGUGUAGCAUGAUGCAUGUACCUUAUGAAUAAGCAUCGGCUAACUCCGUGCCAGCAGCCGCGGUAAUACGGAGGAUGCGAGCGUUAUCCGGAUUUAUUGGGUUUAAAGGGUGCGUAGGCGGUUUUUUAAGUUAGUGGUUAAACGACGGGGCUUCACCUUGAUUUGCCAUUAAUACUGUCAGACUCGAGAUCAGACGAGGUAGGCGGAAUGAGUUGAGUAGCGGUGAAAUGCUUAGAUAUAACUUAGAACUCCGAUAGCGAAGGCAGCUUACCGGA